rnacentral:tRNA from 1 species
CAGGGAGACAACAAAAUGUUUAAUAUUAUUAUUUUGUCACCUUAGGUCGAUCGGUAUCUCACGUUUUUAAUUUAUUAAGAACUUCAUUUCCUAAGUUUUUCUAGGUCACACCCAUUAUUUUUCCUGGGCCAUUAGCUCAGGUGGUUAGAGCGCACCCCUGAUAAGGGUGAGGUCCCUGGUUCAAGUCCAGGAUGGCCCAUAUCUCUAUGUUGGGGGUAUAGCUCAGUUGGUAGAGCGCCUGCUUUGCAAGCAGGAUGUCAGCGGUUCGAGUCCGCUUACCUCCACUGAUUACCACCUCUUCCAUAACCGGUAGUAAGGAAAUGUUUUGAGUUGUGAUCAAAUUCUGAAAGAAUCUAGCUUCCUAAUGAAACCAUUAAGAUGCUGGACUCAUUGAAUUAAUUUCAUUGUUUUCAGAGAACCUUGACAACUGCAUAGAUUAUUUUUAAAGACAAUGAGCAUCUUUAAUGAUGCAGAUUUAUUAUUUGUGCGAAUGCAUUAAUAACAAUUCUAUUAAGCUGAUGCUUCAAUUUUUGAAGUUAUU